AACAACAACAACAAUAACAAUUACCCAGUAUAGUCUCACAAAGUGGGGUCUGGGGAGGGUAAUAUGUAGACGAGCGUUACCCUACCUGAAAGGGCAGAGAAGCUGUUUCCAAUCGACCCUCGGCACGAGGGUCAGUGAAGGAAAGGAAAAACAAAAACAAAAAUAAAAGAGCAUUAGUAAGUUCAGCAGAAAUAGCGUAAAUAAU
rnacentral:lncRNA from 1 species